CAGCAACUUGGAGGAAUGUAUAGGGAAACCGGUAAAAAGGAUAUGUACCUAAUAGUAUUAGAAAAUAAUAUGAAAUUAACUAAGUUAAUUAAAAUUCGAAGUAGAUAUGUGAUUAUGACAAUAUUUGCUAAUUUCUUGACAAAGUCACGUGCCAGCAGUCGCGGUAAUACGUGGUAGAUUAGUGUUAUUCAUCUUUAAUAGGUUUAAAGGGUACCUAGACGGUUAAUUAAGCAUAUAUUUGUACUAAUUAUUAACUAGAGUUUAAUGUAAGAAGGAUUGAGUACGGUGAGUGUAGAGAUAAAAUUCUGUCAUACCACUUAGGAACUGGUAAAGGCGAAGGCAACCUUUUAUGUAAAAACUGACGUUAAGGGACGAAGGCUCGAAUAAAGCAUUAGGAUUAGAGACCCUAGUAUUGUGGGCAGACAAUGAUGAGUGUCAUAUGCAAGAAAAAUUUUUGUGUAUAAAUGAAAGUGUAAGCACUCCACCUCAAGAGUAACGUGGCAACGCGGAAACUGAAAUCAUUAGACCGUUUCUGAAACUCGUAGUGAAGUAUGUUGUUUAAUUUGAUGAUCCGCAAAUAACCUUACCGCAAUUUGUAUGACUAGAUAAUAUUAACAAAAGCAUAUUUUUAACUUGUUUUAAUAUGUUUUAACUAGUUACAAGCGUUGCAUGGCUGUCUUCAGUUAAUGUUGUGAAACUUUGGUUAGAUCCAUUUAAUUGACGUAAACCCUUGCUUUAUUUAUAAUAAAGCAGUUCACCGUUAUAUUGGAAAUGAUAUAAGGGACCAAGACAAGUCAUCAUGACCUGAAUAUCGCGGGCUAUAGACGUGCCACAUUACCCUUAACAAAAAGAUGCAAAA
rnacentral:rRNA from 1 species